UUCCGGUUGAUCCCGCCGGACCUGACUGCUAUCGGAUUGAUACUAAGCCAUGCGAGUCUUUGUAGUAAUACAAGGCAUACGGCUCAGUAACGCGUAGUCAACCUACCCUAUGGACAAGAAUAAUCUCGGGAAACUGAGCAUAAUUCUUGAUAGAUCAUAAUGCCUGGAAUGGUUUAUGGUUAAAAUGAUUCGUCGCCAUAGGAUGGGACUGCGGCCUAUCAGCUUGUUGGUGAGGUAAUGGCCCACCAAGGCGAUUACAGGUACGGGCUCUGAGAGGAGAAGCCCGGAGAUGGGUACUGAGACAAGGACCCAGGCCCUAUGGGGCGCAGCAGGCGAGAAAACUUUGCAAUGUGCGAAAGCACGACAAGGUUAGUCCGAGUGAUUUCUGCUAAAGAGAUCUUUUGCUAGUUAUAAAACCACUAGUGAAUAAGGGGUGGGCAAGUUCUGGUGUCAGCCGCCGCGGUAAAACCAGCACCUCAAGUGGUCAGGAUGAUUAUUGGGCCUAAAGCAUCCGUAGCCGGCUCUGUAAGUUUUCGGUUAAAUCUAUACGCUCAACGUAUGGGCUGCCGAAAAUACUGUAGAGAUAGGGAGUGGGAGAGGUAGACGGUACUCGGUAGGAAGGGGUAAAAUCCUUUGAUCUAUCGAUGACCACCUGUGGCGAAGGCGGUCUACCAGAACACGUUCGACGGUGAGGGAUGAAAGCUGGGGGAGCAAACCGGAUUAGAUACCCGGGUAGUCCCAGCUGUAAACGAUGCAGACUCGAUGAUGCAUUGGCAUAUAGCCAGUGCAGUGUCGCAGGGAAGCCGUUAAGUCUGCCGCCUGGGAAGUACGUACGCAAGUAUGAAACUUAAAGGAAUUGGCGGGGGAGCACCACAAGGGGUGAAGCCUGCGGUUCAAUUGGAGUCAACGCCGG
rnacentral:rRNA from 1 species